AGUGAACGCUGGCGGCAUGCCUAACACAUGCAAGUCGAACGAAAACACAAGAAGCGUUCUCUCCUAAGGGUAGCGAGCGACGGAUGAGUGACACAUGCAUAACAUACCUCUAAUACGGGGGUGAUAACGUGGGACCACUUCUGAUAACACAGCAUAUAUCGUACCGCAGGGUUCAAUGGUUAAACUCACUUUUCCUGACUGUAAUAGCCGAAGCCGGGUCGCAUUAGCUAGUUGGUAAGGUAACGGCUUACCAAGGCGACGAUGCGUAGCCGACCUGAGAGGGUGAUCGGCCACACUGGAACUGAGACACGGUCCAGACUCCUACGGGAGGCAGCAGUAGGGAAUCUUGCGCAAUGGGCGAAAGCCUGAUGGAGCAACGCCGCGUGAGUGAUGAAGGUCUUCGGAUCGUAAAGCGCUGUUGUUAGGAAAGAACAAAAGUGUAUGUAACCACGACCGUUUUGACGGUACCUAAAGAGAAAGCCCCGGCUAACUACGUG
rnacentral:rRNA from 1 species